UGGAAGAUUGGGGAGACGAUCUGUCGUCUUUUGAUCUCGUUGUGGCCUUGAGCCCGGCGAGCCAGAGGCGGGCGCUGGAACUGACCCGGUUUUUUCAC
rnacentral:tRNA from 1 species